GUUUACACUGCCACAGGGACGGGAGGUCCGCUCUACCUACACUUGAUCUCCGAGACGACAUUAUAGCGGAGGACAGUUUUGGAGACGUCACCCGCAUCCGGAAAAUGGAUUGUUGGUGUAUUUGUCGUCGAUUUCGUGAGCAGAGGGAGGAUCACCAUAUACAAGUGGUCAAGACGUGUGAAGUAGACCGCGGCUGCCGUGACUCUGGUGAGAUGACUAAAGGAAUCAAAAAUCACCCCUCGACCAUCGCCAGAAGAAGACGACCAUGAGGGUAGCGUAGUUAUGGCGAUCGGUGGAAGCCAUUGUGUGGGUAGGGUACAUGGCAUUGAAGAACCCUGAUACUUUUAUGGAUUAAAUUUCAAUUCCUCAGUAAUACAUGUGAGUUUCUGCCUCAAGUCGAGUGCUUCCGACGCCCCUAAACUGAGGUCGUGUGGCUGGAGAGAACACGACUCACCGUGGGAAACAUUAUUCACUAAUCGACGACAAUAAUAGUCUUGUGGUAAAUAUUGUGUUGACGACUGUGUUUUUAAGUAGUGUAGCUAGAUAGAUAUUAACUUUGAAUUGUGAUUGAAGUUUAUAUUGUUUUAGUGAGUAUAUAGAUAAUGUAUAUAGUUCAGUUUGUAUAUAGUUCAGCAUGUAUAUAAACAAUGUAUGUAUAUCGUCCAGUGUGUAUAUAGACUAUGUAGGUGUAUAGUUCAGCAUGUAUAUAAACAAUGUAUGUAUAUCGUCCAGUGUGUAUAUAGACAAUGUUGGUGUUCAGUUCAGCAUGUAUAU